UACGAAGGGGGCUAUCGUUGCUCGGAAUCACUGGGCGUAAAGGGCGCGUAGGCGGCCAUUCAAGUCGGGGGUGAAAGCCUGUGGCUCAACCACAGAAUUGCCUUCGAUACUGUUUGGCUUGAGUAUGGUAGAGGUCAGUGGAACUGCGAGUGUAGAGGUGAAAUUCGUAGAUAUUCGCAAGAACACCAGUGGCGAAGGCGGCUGACUGGACCAUUACUGACGCUGAGGCGCGAAAGCGUGGGGAUCAAACAGG
rnacentral:rRNA from 1 species